CACACUGCAUACAAUAUACACAGUACGUGCACUACACAAACACAGACACGGCAUCCACUACACACUGCAUACACUACUCACACACAAUGAAUCCACUGCGCACUGCAUACACUACACACUGCAUGCGCUACACAAACACAGACAAUGCAUCCAGUGCACAAAUACAGGCACUGCAUUAACUACACACUGCAACCACUAUACACACCGCAUCCAUUACACACACAAUGCGUUCACAACAAACAUUGCACACAAUACACACAGACACUGCAUUCACAAACACACACUGCAUCCACCUCCAAGUCUGCCCACAAGGUUGCAGAGUGUUUAGAAAGGAAACAGGGUGUGUGUAAUGGAUGCAGAGUGUAUGUCUAGGCCAGGAAUAGGCAACCUUCGGCUCCCCAGAUGUUGUGGACUACAU